GGAUGUGAGGGCGAUCUGGCUGUGACAUCUGUCACCCCAUUGAUCACCAGAAUUGAUUUGGCCGAUGUGGCUAGCUAGGCGGGUGUCUCAUUCCUCCCUCACCCCUCCAUGUGCAUCCCUCCCAAAGCUGCGCCCUCAGUCAAAGAGGACGACCAUCCCCGACAGGGGAGGACCGGUCUUCCGUCAAGGGCAUAGGAAGCUGCACUCCCCUGCUAACACCUCUAAACAAGCUCCCAAACUGCUGGGUUUACAGGCAUGGGCCACCACGCCCGGCCUAAAGUUUUAAAAUCUAUUAAAAAGACAGCUGUGUGAUAAGUGCUGACAGAUUUCAUAUGUAUUUUAUUUAAU
ensembl:misc_RNA 7SK 7SK RNA